AUGAUUUGUCUUCCCCUUUGCAUGUAGGAAGAGAAGGGCUCUCUGAACAGAUUCCAGGUAACAAAACGGGAGAAGACCAUUCAUCAAACAAUAAGACUCUCAUUUACAGCCACUGGGGAGCUAUCCUGAAGAAUAAAACAAUAGAAAUCUUGGACUCCGAAUAGAGGAAGAUAAGACACAGAUGCAUCCCUGCCAUGAAGGAGUUUGUGACUUGGGAAAACUGUUAACCUUUCAAGGUCUACGUGCUUUAAUCACUAGCUCUAAUACUAAAUUUUCCAAGAGAGAAAGAAACCCUGGGAAGUACUGACUCAGGAAGCAGCCCCACCCUGCUGAGAGCUGUUGUCCUUUCGGAAGCUUCCUUGGUCUCCAUCCACAAGAAAAACAGUUCCUGCUCCAUGGUUCCCAAGCACCCUCUCCCCAAAGAAAGAAUUAUCCCAGCCUUUCCCUCGGGGGAGCCAGUCUGCCCAAGCUCAAGCCGGAGCAGAUGAACAAUGAACAUCAGAGCAAUUAGUCUGGGCAAUUAGGCAGGCAAUUAGUUCUGCAGUGUGUAGAAUAGGAGGAGGAGGUAAAUCAGCAGCCUCAGAGGUGAUGGGAAAGGUGAGUUGGCCUCUGGCUCUAGUGACACCCAGGUGAGAAGGUCGGGUACUCCCCAGCCUCCUUUCCCUCCUGUGAUCAGGACCACAGUUGCUUUGCAGGAGCAAGACAACUGCUCCAGGCUUUCAGCCCAUUCUAAUUUCUUCCUCAGAAUGUCACAAGUUCUGAGUGUCUGCUCCAACGGAGUCCCUGUUGCUUUCUCUCCCAGGAAUCCUAUCUGCAAUGUUGAAAUUCUUACAUGCAGUUUCCUGGGGACCCUCCUAGCAGAGUUCAUUGUUUUGAAAGCUUGAGAAGGUCUCUUCUAAAGGGCAAUUGAUUUCUCAUUUAUCUAAGGGUAGAGGAGAUUUUACACAAUUUCUCAAUAGAGUAAGGGGGACACUUAAAAACAGUGCUUACAAGGCAAAGCCCUGGGCUUGGGUACCAGCUGUGCCUUUUAGACCAAAGCAAUGUCCUUUGGUUUUAUCUGCUCCAAAUUGGAAGAAUGACAGAACAACCUGGGAACAUGCACGGCACUUCAAUAUGUCUUGUCAAUUCCAAUUUGGAGAACACAUAUAUUAAAAAUUAUUUAUGUUUAUCU